rnacentral:lncRNA from 1 species
CUGUGUGUAAGAAUUCCAACUGCACAGCCCUGCACUUUGGCUGUUUGUAAUGAAAAGGGUUGGGAUGAGUCAGGGAGAGCAAGUGUGGGGGCAGUUUCUAGGGCUGUUUUUAAGGAACUGAAAGGAGUGGUGAAAGGAUUUAGGAUCUGUGGGGUGCUUUUGUGAGUUUAUAUAAUGGUUUAGUCAGGGUGGUAAAACUAGGUAUCCAAAGGCGGAAGUACCUAACCAUGCCUAGGAAGGAAAGGAGUUGUUGUUUUGUAGAAGGGAUUGGGGUUUGGGAGAUUAGCCAGACACGAUCAGCAGGGAGAGCAUGUGUGUUUUCAUGAGAAUUAUGCCAAGAUAGGUAACAGAUGAGGAAGAAAUUUGGGCUUGACUGAAGUAAUGGGGGCCGUCUGUGAAGCCUUGUGGCAGUACACCCAGCUGUUGUAAAAAGGAUUGAGUUCUUGAUUGAUUCCCAGCUUGGUCAUUGGUGUAUAGCAGUGCUACUGAUUUGUUUACAUUCAUUUUGUAACCUGAGACUUUACUGAAUUCGUGUAUCAGAUCUAGGAGCCUUUUGGUUCUUCAUCGGGUAAUUGAGCUGAUAUCAGGUGUCUGAAGGAGGCAAGUUUUGAAGAUGUGGGUCAUGAUGGCUGCUGAAGCUUCCACUCCAUAUUUGAAGGUCAGCAGUUCUCAGGAAACCUCUAGCACUUCCAUCCCUGGUGGGAUGUGAUGCCUGUCUCAGUGUAACAUCAGAGAAGGGGUGUACUCUGUGCCCUAGAACUAGGAGCUAACAGAGAAAAACCAAAUGUGAUGUGGAGUCUGCUAGACAGGCUACUGGAGCAAGAGUGAAGCGAUGAAAGUCUCAUCAUUGGGACAUAUUAGGGAGGCAGCAGGUGGCUGAAAUCCUGGUGUGAUGUGGCUGGAUCAUGCAUGAUCUGAGGACUCCUGCACAGGUGACUGCAGGAUGAGUACAGAAUUUUUCUAUAAAUAUACUAAAAUACCAAGUAAGCCAGGAGCAGCCACUAGGCAAACACCAAACCUUGCAUUCCUGGCCAAACCUAUCACAGAGCUCAUCAGGUAAGUUCAAAGACACACCUGUCUUCCCAGCAUUGGGAACUGGAUUGGGGUCUACUCAGAGGCAUGAUGUUGACCAGAUUUUAUGAAACACCCAAGAAUGUAGAGAACAUUCUGUCUUUAAAACCUUGAAUUCAAAACAUAUCAGAGAGAGAUUUACUUCCCUUAUAUGGAUGUCUGUGUUCUCAUUAGGAGAGAAACAAUGAAAAAUGACUUUUCACAAUGCCUGCCUUAGCCGUGAGGCUCAGCCAACCCCCACUUCUAUGUCUCAGCAUUUAAAGGGCAAUUGAAGUCCCACUCCAUGCUAUAUACUCUCAAGAGGUUUUCUCAUUUACCCUUCAGAACAGCUCUGUAAAGAUGGUAUGGUCAGUCCCAUUUCACAGAUGACUAAGCUCAGGCUCACAGAGCCUAAGUCACCCCUCCAGGUAAGUGGCAGGGUUGGAAUGAGGUUCUAUUCCUCACCCUCCCUAGAGAACCCUGAGCAGCUUCCGUUUUAGAAGAUGGGUUUCCAGGGCUUGAGAAAUGGUCAGAUUCCCCCCUGAUAUUGUGGCCCCACAGGUCCUCACUCCACAACCCCUCUGGGUGAUGAGGAAGACAGAAGAGGUGAAAUCCUGCGCUUUGUGCCAUGAGAUCUGGGUGUAGGGCCACAGGAGUUAGCUAAUCCUUGAAGUGGUGAGUGGGCUCAGGCAGAAGCUCAAGUGUUGGCCUUGGGACAGGUGAGCUGGAGAGAAGGAAAGUAACAUGCACUGAACCACUGUAAGCAAAUGCAAUUUACAGCUCAUCUCCUUUAAUCCUAACAACCAUUUAAGAUACUCAUCAUUCUGACCAUUAUUCAGAUCAGUGUGCUGUCUUUAGGGGAGUUUAUGUAAGUCAGGGAAACAACCUAGUUGUCCUGUGAUCAUCAGCUAACUCUGGAAUACUCCAAAGUUGUAUCAUUUUCUCUUGAUGUCUCCAGGGCUCUGAAUGUUCUAAUCUCCCUGCAGGCUGAUAGCGCCUGCUCCUCAUGGUGUUAUUCAACAUUUUUUCUUUUUAAAUUAUGACCUGUAUAUUUUUGUCACAUUAUUGACAUUUAAAACACUUUCUCAGUAAAAAUAAGGCUAAACAUUUUUUAACUUAAGGGAGAAAACAUUUGCAAACUACAUCUCAGAUACUGGGUUAGUAUCCAUGAUUUGUGAACCACAUUCUGUAACAAAAUGACUGGCAGCUGUUUUCAACAGACAUUCUCAUUAAAAUGUACAUGAACAAUAAACAUGUUAAAAUAUGUCAAAACUGGAAGUACUAAUAAGAUGCAAAUAUAAAUCUUCAAGAGAAUAUUAUGUGGAAGAAAAAAGUUGCAAAAAAAAUUAGUACUGUGAUUCACUUUUGGAACAGAUUGUGUGUUUGCGUGCACCUCACCUACAGGGACACAUCUGGAGAGUAUGCACCAUUCUGUUGACAACAGACCCUUUUGGGUCAGAGGGUAGGCUUCAGGCCAGUGAGAUAUGCAGAUUCAUUUCAAUUUAUAAAUAUACUUUUAUACAUUGUUUGAAAUUUUGUAUUUAGGGAAAAAAGCAUUUCAAUAAAUACUUUUGAAUAGAUUGGCAACAGUAAUUGUAAUGUAUUUCAUUAAUUCGAAAGUACAUUCAUUGUAUUCAAUUUUGUAUUGAGACAAAGUAGAUAAAAAUGGAAUUGAUAAUGUCUAUGUGUGUGAGUGUGUGUGUGUGUGUGUGUGUGUAUCUUCUCUUGCUCUAUCACCCAAAUAAACAUACGUGCAGCUUUACCUUUAAUUCAGACAGGGGAUGGAACCAAUAUCAGUUUUAGAUAUCCCAGAAAAUAGUGGAUACAGAGAGACAGCUACCAUGAGCUGAAUAAUUCCGGAAGACUCCAGCUGAUACCUUCUGGGAGCCAAAUUCCCAAACUCCAUCCCUCUUUCCCUCUUACCGAGGCCCUUGGCUGACAGAGAUGCAAUCCUGUCUCUGGGCACCAGAUGGCAUCGAUCUCUUUAUUUUUUUUUUUUUAAUAAAAAGGAGUAUAUUUUGUAGAGUAACGAAGGACUUAAAAUGGUUUGUUUACCAUGAUCAUAAUUCUGU